rnacentral:rRNA from 1 species
AGUCAUAUGCUUGUCUCAAAGAUUAACCCAUGCAUGUGUAAGUAUAAGUAUUGUACAACGAAACUGCGAAUGGCUCAUUAAAUCAGUUAUAGUUUAUUUGAUAAUCGAAAGUUACAUGGAUAACCGUGACAAAUUACAGCUAAUACAUGCAGUCAGACCUUGUCCGAGGUCGUAAUUAUUAGUAUUAAACCAAUUCCUUCGGGAGUGUGAUGAAUCAUAGUAAUCGAACGAAUCGCAGAGUUCUGCGAUAAAUCAUUCAAGUUUCUGCCCUAUCAGCUUUGGAUGGUAGUGUAUUGGACUACCAUGGCAGUCACGGGUAACGGAGAAUUAGGGUUCGAUUCCGGAGAGGGAGCCUGAGAAACGGCUACCACAUCUACGGAAGGCAGCAGGGACGAAAAUUGCCCAAUCCCGAUACGGGGAGGCAGUGACAAGAAAUAACAACUCUCGACUAUGUUGAGAAGUGUAAUGAGGAUAAUUUACAAACCUUACCGAAAGCAAUUGGAGGGCAAGUCUGGUGCCAGCAGCCGCGGUAAUUCCAGCUCCAAUAGCGUAUAUUAAAGUUGUUGCAGUUAAAAAGCUCGUAGUUGAAGUUCUGGUUGUAUGGGCCUCUGCACUUGAUGCGUAGGUACCAGCAACCAUCCGCUUGCAAAUACAUGUCCUUCUUUAACCGGUAGGCUGUAUGAGCAAGCAAUUUACCUUGAGAAAAACAGAGUGCACCAGGCAGGUAUGUCCGGAAUGCAUUAGCAUGGAAUAAUAGAAUAUGACCGAAGUCGAUUUAUUGGUUUGAGGCUUUAGUAAUGAUUAAUAGGAACAAUCGGGGGCAUUGGUACUUGCCAGUCAGAGGUGAAAUUCUAAGAUUUGGCAAAGACUAACUGAUGCGAAAGCGUUUGCCAAGGAUGUUUUCAUUAAUCAAGAACGAAAGUUAGGGGAUCAAAGACGAUCAGAUACCGUCCUAGUCUUAACCAUAAACCAUACCGACUCGGAUUCGGAAGAGUAUUAAAGCUCUUUCGGGACCGUAGGAGAAAUCAAAGUCUUUGGGUUCUGGGGGGAGUAUGGUCGCAAGGCUGAAACUUAAAGGAAUUGACGGUUUUGCACCACCAUGGAGUGGAGCCUGCGGCUUAAUUUGACUCAACACUGGGAAACUCAUCAGGGCAAGAAGAUUUUAGGAUUGACAGAUUGAGAGUUCUUUCUUGAUUGGUCUAGUGGUGGUGCAUGGCCGUUCUUAGUUGGUGGAGUGAUUUGUCUGGUUAAUUCCGUUAACGAACGAGACCUUAACCUGCUAACUAGUACUUCUAUAUCCAAUGGGAGCUACUUCUUAGAGGGACUAUGUGUGGUAAUCACAUGGAAGUUUGAGGCAAUAACAGGUCUGUGAUGCCCUUAGAUGUCCUGAGCUGCACGCGCGCUACAAUGACAUAUUCAACAAGUAUUUCCUGAUCCGAAAGGAUUUGGGUAAUCUUUUUAGUAUAUGUCGUGCUAGGGAUAGAUCUUUGUAAUUAUGGAUCUUGAACGAGGAAUUCCUAGUAAGCGCAUGUCAUCAGCAUGUGCUGAUUACGUCCCUGCAAAAUGUACACACCGCCCGUCGCUAUUACCGAUUGAGUGUAUAGGUGAACCUUCUUGAUAGCUUUCGGGUUAAAAAUUAAGUAAACCUUUGCACUUAGAGGAAAUAAAAGUCGUAACAAGGUUUCCGUAGGUGAACCUGCGGAAGGAUCAUUUAUAAUUCUAAAUGUACUUCUAGAACAACCGUGCAAAAGGAGGAAACUCCUUUGUUUGCCUAUUCAUAGGUUUAAUGUUAACAAAACACCUAAAUAUCUUAAAUUUUCAACGAUGGAUAUCUAGGCUCCUAUAACGAUGAAGAACGCAGCGAAAUGCGAUACGCAAUGCGAAUUGCAGAACCGUGAGUCAUCAGAUUUUUGAACGCAAGUGGCGGCAGCUUCGGCUGUCAUGUUUGUUUCAGUGUGUUCGGUUAAUUACRUCGUAGARCUUAAUGUGAUUGAAGCGAUUCUCUCACUUAGUACGGGGCCGCGUCAGCGCGAACAUUCCACGAACUCGUCACUAACAUGGUGAUAAUCGUGAAAGUGCUCAGACUGUAGAACCGCGGUUCGAUAACUAACUAUCCACUCAUAACACCUGAAAUAAGCAAGAUUACCCGCUGAACUUAAGCAUAUCAGUAA